rnacentral:rRNA from 1 species
AUUGAACGCUGGCGGCAGGCCUAACACAUGCAAGUCGAACGAGUGGCGGACGGGUGAGUAAUGUCUGGGCAACGGCCCGAUGGAGGGGGAUACCUACUGGAAACGGUAGCUAAUACCGCAUAGCAUCGGAUGUGUCCAGAUGGGAUGAGCUAGUUGGUGGGGUAAAGGUUCACCUAGGCGACGGUCCCUAGCUGGUCUGAGAGGAUGACCAGCCACACUGGGGCUGAGGCACGGUCCGGACUCCUACGGGAGGCAGCAGUGGGGAAUAUUGCACAAUGGGCGCGAUCCUGAUGCAGCCAUGCCGCGUGUGGGGAGAAGGCCUUCGGGUUGUAAAGGACUGUCAGCGGGGAGGCGUUACCCGCAGACAAAGCACCGGCUAACUCCGUGCCAGCAGCCGCGGUAAUAC